rnacentral:rRNA from 1 species
AACGCUAGCUACAGGCUUAACACAUGCAAGUCGAGGGGCAGCAUGGUCUUAGCUUGCUAAGGCCGAUGGCGACCGGCGCACGGGUGAGUAACACGUAUCCAACCUGCCGUCUACUCUUGGACAGCCUUCUGAAAGGAAGAUUAAUACAAGAUGGCAUCAUGAGUCCGCAUGUUCACAUGAUUAAAGGUAUUCUGGUAGACGAUGGGGAUGCGUUCCAUUAGAUAGUAGGCGGGGUAACGGCCCACCUAGUCUUCGAUGGAUAGGGGUUCUGAGAGGAAGGUCCCCCACAUUGGAACUGAGACACGGUCCAAACUCCUACGGGAGGCAGCAGUGAGGAAUAUUGGUCAAUGGACGAGAGUCUGAACCAGCCAAGUAGCGUGAAGGAUGACUGCCCUAUGGGUUGUAAACUUCUUCUAUAAAGGAAUAAAGUCGGGUAUGGAUACCCGUUUGCAUGUACUUUAUGAAUAAGGAUCGGCUAACUCCGUGCCAGCAGCCGCGGUAAUACGGAGGAUCCGAGCGUUAUCCGGAUUUAUUGGGUUUAAAGGGAGCGUAGAUGGAUGUUUAAGUCAGUUGUGAAAGUUUGCGGCUCAACCGUAAAAUUGCAGUUGAUACUGGAUAUCUUGAGUGCAGUUGAGGCAGGCGGAAUUCGUGGUGUAGCGGUGAAAUGCUUAGAUAUCACGAAGAACUCCGAUUG